rnacentral:lncRNA from 1 species
AUGCAUCUAAGACUACUGAUACAAGAUGCUGUGCAAGCUGACUCUAGUAGCAACAGAUUUGAUAUACUUUUCAUAAUGUGCACAUUAUGUCCUACAUACUUCAGGGAAAAAAACAAGGAACACGCAUUAUUAUGCUUUGAAGCAUUACAGUUCUGUAGUUUGUGGAACACUUGCUCUUUCAGCAUUGAUGAUACUGAAGAAAUAACAAGGCUCUGCAGUGUAGAAAGUUGUGUCAAUAGGCUGAAUGAUACUGCUGUGCUUACACCAGUGAGAAGAGAAUCCCUUGAUGAAAUCUACAGAGCUGCUAUACAGAAAGAUUGGACACUUGCUGUACCAUGGUUGGCAGUGUGAUUUUAAUUUUUUUUCCUCCAGUUCUUACUGGCAGUUACAGAUAGGAAAGAAACCUCAGUGGAAGUGUGAUUGUUCAUAUGUAUGCCGGCUGAUGAAAGCAGUCCUUCUCCUUGCUGCAAUAACAAUUUUAAGGUCUCUCCCCCCUCUUCCUGGAGCAUUCUAGGGAUAAGCCCAGAAAUAAUAAGAAACAUGAAAUGUUGGAUGCAGAAGUAUUUAUGUAUAAACCAGAAGUAGAUUUUUUUUAAAAAGUAAAACCAAAGAUAAGAUGCAAUGAUCGCUUUGAAUUGCCUAACUAGACACUCCUGCUUAUCUGCAUCUUUUAUCUUCUCUAAACUGUUCUUCAUGAAAUACAGUUUUAAUAUAUUCACAAAGUUGAUUUAAAAUAUGCAGGAAUAAGAAACCACAGAGAACAUUCAGGGAGCUAUUAGCUAAUGAUACCAGAGAACAUGCAGGAUCCAGUGUGUUAUAACUAGAAACAAGAAGGGACAGGCUUUUUAAUCUGGAUGGUUUUAUGUGGAAUUAAGCAUGUGUGUAUUUAUGUCCAUAUAAGUGUCUUUAUAUACAUACAAAUAAAUAUAUAAAUGUCAACA